UGACUCGUAGCUCAAUGGUAGAGCACUCGAUUGUUAAUCGAGGCGUUGUGGGUUCAAGCCCCACCGAGUCAG
rnacentral:tRNA from 2 species